rnacentral:rRNA from 1 species
UACGUAGGGGGCAAGCGUUGUCCGGAUUUAUUGGGCGUAAAGCGCACGCAGGCGGUCUCUUAAGUUUCGAGUGACAGGUCAGGGCUUAACCCUGGCAGGCCUUGGAAAACUGGGGGACUUGAGGGCUUCAGAGGGACGCGGAAUUCCAGGUGGAGCGGUGAAAUGCGUAGAUAUCGGGAGGAACACCGGUGGCGAAGGCGGCGAUCUGGGUAGAUACUGACGCUGAGGUGCGAAAGCGUGGGGAGCAAACAGG